rnacentral:rRNA from 1 species
UCAUACAAGAGACCCAAGUUAACAGUAUACGGCGUAAAGAGUGGGCCCACAACUAUCACAGUAAUUAAGGUUGAAAAGUAACUGAGCUGUCAUAAGCUUAAGGCACACUUAAAACCACCCUAAAGACGACCCUAAUCCCUAUGAUUAACUAGACCCCACGAAAGCUAGGACACAAACUGGGAUUAGAUACCCCACUAUGCCUAGCCCUAAAUCUUGAUGCUUACCAACAUAAAGCAUCCGCCCGAGAACUACGAGCACAAACGCUUAAAACUCUAAGGACUUGGCGGUGCCCCAAACCCACCUAGAGGAGCCUGUUCUGUAAUCGACAACCCACGAUGCACCCGACCACUUCUUGCAAAGAUGACAGCCUACAUACCGCCGUCGCCAGCUCACCUCCACUGAGAGCACAAUAGUGAACACAAUUGCCUUAGCCCCGCAAAUACGACAGGUCAAGGUAUAGCCUAUGAAGUGGAAGAAAUGGGCUACAUUUUCUAGCUUAGAAAACCCAAAACGAAAGGGGACAUGAAACAGCCCCCAGAAGGCGGAUUUAGCAGUAAAGUGGGAUAAUAAAGCCCCCUUAAAACCGGCCCUGAGGCACGUACAUACCGCCCGUCACCCUCCUCAUAAGCCUUGAACCCCCAUAAAUAAAACGCCUACUCGCCAAAGAUGAGGUAAGUCGUAACAAGGUAAGUGUACCGG